rnacentral:rRNA from 1 species
AUAUAUCAACAAUGAAUAUCUACUACUCUUGUUACAAUGAAGAACAUAUUGAAAUGCAAUACUUGGUGUGAAUUGCAUAAUCUCGUGAAUCAUUAAGUUUUUUAAUGCAAUAUAUGCUUAAGGCCUC